rnacentral:misc_RNA from 1 species
AGGAGUGUCUGCACUGAGGCUGGGAUGUAUGCCAUUAGGGCACGCAGGAAGACAGUUACUGAGAAAGACUUCCUGGAUGCGGUGAACAAGGUGAUCAAGGGGUAUCAGAAGUUCAGUGCGACCCCAAAGUAUAUGGUCUACAAUUGAGGUUGUAUUUAGGAAUUCACCAAUGUAUUUUAUGUUGGAAUUGUCCGUAUUUUCAAUCUCAUUUGCCCUUACUCUACAUUCCUCAAGUUUUAGUUCCAUUGAAAGCAGAAACUGUACGUCAUUUAUUUGGUUCAACUAUUGGCCUCUGGUGGCAAAACUGCAGUGAAAAUUCACAGAAGUUGGUUUGC